CCCUCAGAAAGGGGACCCUUCUCAUGAGUGGGUCACACAUCCUUUUGACCUUUGCCACUGUUUACUUUCAACACCACCGACCAAAGAGAAGCAGAUCAAACUGUCAGCUGAAGGGUUACCAAACCUUUUGUGUAAAGGUUGGGCUGUCAGGGGGAAGGACUUGAAACGCUCAGCUCAUGUGCUCACGGUUCGUGGGGUCAGACCCACCCAGGAAACAGCAGCUUCUCGAGUCUCACCGGAGUCUUCGAGGACGGUGGUUCCUCACAGGCGCCAGCGCGAGGCCACGGAGGCCGCCCAGGUGAAUGACCGCGGACAGGCAGCUGAACCAUCAGAAAAGCACCUGUCUCUCCCAGUUGUGGCGGCAGAAGUCACCCGGCGACUUGUCGGCAUGGCCUCGCUCCAUCUCGGGGCUCCAGGGACUACUGGAGAGGAGAGACAUUCCUUCUGCCCUGUUACGUUCUGUCACGGAAGCCUGUGAAUUAAACUAAAACGGAAUAAAUUAACAGGAAAGAAUACCA